AAAAUGCGAUAUCUAGUGUGAAUUGCAGAUUUACGUGAAUCAUCGAGUCUCUGAACGCAAAUUGCGCUCCACGGCUAUUCCGUGGAGCAUACCUGUUUGAGUCUCACCUUUUUUCUUUUCUUUGGAAAAACAUGCGCUUUUCUUUCCCUCCCCUUUUAACGGGAGAGGGGGAACAGCGUCAAAAACAAUCCAUUACUUUUUGCGUGACCCCAAAACAACAACACAGUGUGCUCAUACCACCUGUGUGUUGCUGGACAUCCGCACAACCACAAAAAAAAGAGCUCAAAUCAGGCAGGACUACCCGCUGAACUUAA
rnacentral:misc_RNA from 1 species